rnacentral:rRNA from 1 species
GAGAUGAGCCCGCGUCCCAUUAGCUUGUUGGUAGGGUAACGGCCUACCAAGGCUUCGAUGGUUAGCUGGUCUGAGAGGAUGAUCAGCCACACUGAAACUGACACACGGUCCAGACUCCUACGGGAGGCAGCAGUGAGGAAUUUUGCGCAAUGGGGGAAACCCUGACGCAGCAACGCCGCGUGAGUGAUGAAGGCCUUCGGGUCGUAAAGCUCUGUCAAGUGGGAAGAACCUGCAAAAGGCCAAUACCCUUUUGCACUGACGGUACCACUGAAGGAAGCACCGGCUAACUCCGUGCCAGCAGCCGCGGUAAUACGGGGGGUGCAAGCGUUACUCGGAAUCAUUGGGCGUAAAGGGCGCGUAGGCGGCCUGGUAAGUCAGGUGUGAAAGCCCGGGGCUCAACCCCGGAAGUGCAUUUGAUACUGCCAGGCUUGAGUAUGGGAGAGGGAAGUGGAAUUCCUGGUGUAGAGGUGAAAUUCGUAGAUAUCAGGAGGAACACCGGUGGCGAAGGCGACUUCCUGGACCAAUACUGACGCUGAGGCGCGAAGGCGUGGGGAGCAAACAGGAUUAGAUACCCUGGUAGUCCACGCAGUAAACUUUGUUCACUAGGUGUAGCGGGUAUUGACCCCUGCUGUGCCGAAGCUAACGCAUUAA